rnacentral:rRNA from 1 species
UACGAAGGGGGCUAGCGUUGUUCGGAUUUACUGGGCGUAAAGCGCACGUAGGCGGACUUUUAAGUCAGGGGUGAAAUCCCGGGGCUCAACCCCGGAACUGCCUUUGAUACUGGAAGCCUUGAGUUCGAGAGAGGUGAGUGGAAUUGCGAGUGUAGAGGUGAAAUUCGUAGAUAUUCGCAGGAACACCAGUGGCGAAGGCGGUCCCCUGGGCCGGAACUGACGCUGAGGCGCGAAAGCGUGGGUAGCAAACGGG